UCCGUAGGGUGCAAGCGUUGUCCGGAAUUAUUGGGCGUAAAGAGCUCGUAGGCGGUCUGUCGCGUCGGCUGUGAAAACCCGGAGCUCAACUCCGGGCCUGCAGUCGAUACGGGCAGACUGGAGUUCGGCAGGGGAGACUGGAAUUCCUGGUGUAGCGGUGAAAUGCGCAGAUAUCAGGAGGAACACCGGUGGCGAAGGCGGCUCACUGGCUCAUUUCUGACGCUCAGGCGCGACAGCGUGGGGAUCAAACAGG
rnacentral:rRNA from 1 species